rnacentral:rRNA from 1 species
GUGUCAGCCGCCGCGGUAAUACGUAGGUGGCAAGCGUUAUCCGGAUUUACUGGGUGUAAAGGGCGCGCAGGCGGUCUUGCAAGUCAGAUGUGAAAGAUCAAGGCUUAACUUUGACAGGUCAUCUGAAACUGCGGGACUUGAGUAUCAGAGGGGAAAGUGGAAUUCCUGGUGGAGCGGUAAAAUGCGCAGAGAUCAGGAGGAACACCGGUGGCGAAGGCGACUUUCUGGCUGACAACUGACGCUGAGGCGCGAAAGCGUGGGGAGCAAACAGGAUUAGAUACCCUGGUAGUCCACGCCGUAAACGAUGAUUACUGGGUGUAGGGGGUAUCGACUCCCUCUGUGCCGAAGCAAACGCGAUAAGUAAUCCACCUGGGGAGUACGGCCGCAAGGCUAAAACUCAAAGAAAUUGACGG